rnacentral:rRNA from 1 species
CGCCUGUUUAUCAAAAACAUCGCCUCUUGUUCAAUUAUAGGAGGUCCAGCCUGCCCAGUGACUUUGUUCAACGGCCGCGGUAUCCUAACCGUGCGAAGGUAGCGUAAUCACUUGUUCUUUAAAUGAGGACUAGUAUGAAUGGCCCCACGAGGGCUGCACUGUCUCCUUUUUCUAAUCAAUGAAACUAAUCUCCCCGUGAAGAAGCGGGAAUUAUCCUAUAAGACGAGAAGACCCUAUGGAGCUUUAAACAACUGAAACAUUUGCUUUUCUCCUAACUCCUCCCGAGCUCUUUAUUUUUAUUUAAGCAUUAUUAUUUCUAGUUUUAGGUUGGGGUGACCACGGAGCAAAACUAAACCUCCAUGAAGAAAUGAAUAUUUUUAAGCCACAAACUACUUUUUUAAGCAUCAACAAAUUGACCUUCAUUGACCCAAUAUAUUGAUCAACGAACCAAGUUACCCUAGGGAUAACAGCGCAAUCUACUUCAAGAGCUCAUAUCGACAAGUAGGUUUACGACCUCGAUGUUGGAUCAGGGUAUCCUAGUGGUGCAGCCGCUACUAAUGGUUCGUUUGUUCAACGAUUAAAACCCU